rnacentral:rRNA from 1 species
UACGUAUGGAGCAAGCGUUAUCCGGAUUUACUGGGUGUAAAGGGAGCGUAGACGGGGAUGCAAGUCUGAUGUGAAAGGCCACGGCUCAACUGUGGGACUGCAUUGGAAACUGUAUGUCUUGAGUACCGGAGGGGUAAGCGGAAUUCCUAGUGUAGCGGUGAGAUGCGUAGAUAUUAGGAGGAACACCAGUGGCGAAGGCGGCUUACUGGACGGUAACUGACGUUGAGGCUCGAAAGCGUGGGGAGCAAAC